GUGAGGAAUAUUGGUCAAUGGACGAGAGUCUGAACCAGCCAAGUCGCGUGAAGGAAGACGGUUCUAUGAAUUGUAAACUUCUUUUGUGCAGGAAUAAAGUGGGUUACGUGUAACCUUUUGUAUGUACUGUACGAAUAAGGAUCGGCUAACUCCGUGCCAGCAGCCGCGGUAAUACGGAGGAUUCGAGCGUUAUCCGGAUUUAUUGGGUUUAAAGGGUGCGUAGGUGGAUUGAUAAGUCAGCGGUGAAAGUUUGCAGCUUAACUGUAAAAUUGCCGUUGAAACUGUCGGUCUUGAGUGCAAAUGAGGUAGGCGGAAUGUGUUGUGUAGCGGUGAAAUGCUUAGAUAUAACACAGAACUCCGAUUGCGAAGGCAGCUUACUGGGAUGCAACUGACACUGAUGCACGAAAGCGUGGGUAUCAAACAGGAUUAGAUACCCGAGUAGUCC
rnacentral:rRNA from 1 species